rnacentral:rRNA from 1 species
UGGUUGAUCCUGCCCGUUCUCAUAUGCUUGUCUCAAAGAUUAAGCCAUGCAUGUCUAAGUAUAAACCUCCUUAUACAGUGAAACUGCGUACAGCUCAUUAUAUCAGUUAUUAUUUAUUUGAUGGUACCUUACUACAUGGAUACCCCUAGAAAUUCUACAGCUAAUACAUGCGUAAAGUCCCGACUUUUUGGAAGGGAUGUAUUUAUUAGAUUAAAAACCAGUGCAAGCUACUGCUCCUUUGGUGAUUCAUAGAAACUUUAACGGAUCGCACGGCUUCACGUCGGCCACAGUUCAUUCAAAUUUCUGCCCUAUCAUCUUUCAACAGUACUGUCCUGGACUACCGUGGCAUUAACGGGUGACGGAUAAUUACGGUUCUUAUUCCGGAGAGGGAGCCUGAAAAACAGCUACCACAUCCAAGGAAGGCAGCAAGCGCGCAAAUUACCCAAUCCUGACACAAGGAGGUAGUGACAAAAAAUAACAAUACCUGGCCUUUUUAGGUCUGGUAAUUGGAAUGAGUACAAUUUACAUCCCUUAACGAGUAUCCAUU